rnacentral:rRNA from 1 species
UACAGAGGGUGCAAGCGUUGUUCGGAAUUAUUGGGCGUAAAGGGCGCGUAGGCGGUUCGGCAAGUCUCUAGUGAAAUCUCUGGGCUCAACUCAGAGUCUGCUGGGGAAACUGCCGGGCUUGAGUGUGGGAGAGGAGAGUGGAAUUCCCGGUGUAGCGGUGAAAUGCGUAGAUAUCGAGAGGAACACCGGUGGCGAAGGCGGCCUUCUGGACAAUGACUGACGCUGAGACGCGAAAGCGUGGGGAGCAAACAGG